UGAAAAAUGUUUGCCGUACCUGCCACCCUUGCCGACUUCAAACGCAGCCACCCUUGAUGAUUGGUGAGGACACCAUACCUGAGAGAAGACGCAAUGGACCCAAACAUUACUGACCUCAAUGAGACCCCAUCGAGGUGCAUAGACAAUGAGAAACUGCGUUCUCCUCGGCACUCCGUUGAUCGCCGUAUCCGAUGCGUGUGGCGGUGUUCUGAAAGACGUUGAACAAGACGAUCCUGCCGACGCUGUCGGUGACGGCGGCCAUCUGUUUG